GAAAGAUUCAUCGGAAGAGGAUGGGCAUGCGGCGCAUUAGCUAGACGGCGGGGUAACGGCCCACCGUGGCGACGAUGCGUAGGGGUUCUGAGAGGAAGGUCCCCCACACUGGUACUGAGACACGGACCAGACUCCUACGGGAGGCAGCAGUGAGGAAUAUUGGUCAAUGGGAGAGAUCCUGAACCAGCCAAGCCGCGUGAGGGAAGACGGCCCUAUGGGUUGUAAACCUCUUUUGUCGGAGAACAAAACCCGGGACGAGUCCCGGACUGCGUGUAUCCGAAGAAAAAGCAUCGGCUAACUCCGUGCCAGCAGCCGCGGUAAUACGGAGGAUGCGAGCGUUAUCCAGAUUUAUUGGGUUUAAAGGGUGCGUAGGCGGUCCGUUAAGUCAGCGGUAAAAUUGCGGGGCUCAACCCCGUCGAGCCGUUGAAACUGGCAGACUUGAGUUGGCGAGAAGUACGCGGAAUGCGCGGUGUAGCGGUGAAAUGCAUAGAUAUCGCGCAGAACUCCGAUUGCGAAGGCAGCGUACCGGCGCCACACUGACGCUGAGGCACGAAAGCGUGGGGAUCGAACAGGAUUAGAUACCCUGGUAGUCCACGCAGUAAACGAUGAAUGCUGGUUGUCCGGGUCGAAUGAGAUCUGG
rnacentral:rRNA from 1 species